rnacentral:rRNA from 1 species
ACGCCGCGUGAAGGAAGCGGUUUUCGGAUUGUAAACUUCUAUCAGCAGGGAAGAAAAAAGACUGUACCUGACUAAGAAGCCCCGGCUAACUACGUGCCAGCAGCCGCGGUAAUACGUAGGGGGCAAGCGUUAUCCGGAUUUACUGGGUGUAAAGGGUACGUAGGCGGUUUAUUAAGUCAGAUGUGAAAGCCCGGAGCUCAACUCCGGGACUGCAUUUGAAACUGGUGAACUAGAGUACAGGAGAGGUAAGUGGAAUUCCUAGUGUAGCGGUGAAAUGCGUAGAUAUUAGGAAGAACACCAGUGGCGAAGCGACUUACUGGACUGUAACUGACGCUGAGGUACGAAAGCGUGGGGAGCGAACAGGAUUAGAUACCCUGGUAGUCCACGCCGUAAACGAUGAUGCUAGGUGUCGGGAGUCGAAUCNCGGUGCCGCA